GGACAGAAAGACCCUAUGAAGCUUGACUGUAGCCUGAGAUUGGGUUUGGGUUCUUCUUGCGCAGCCUAGGUGGGAGGUGUUGAUUGCUUACUUGCGGGUAAGUUGUAGCCGUCAGUGAGAGACCACUCUGGAAGAGCUAGAAUUCUAAUAGCGAUCCUUGAAUCAGGACGCUUGACAGUCUCAGGUGGGCAGUUUCUUUGGGGCGAAGACCUCCUAAAAGGUAACGGAGGUGUGCAAAGGUUCCUUCAGGCUGGACGGAAAUCAGUCGAAGAGUGUAAAGAUAGAAGGGAGCUUGACUGCAAGACCUACAAGUCGAGCAGGGGCGAAAGCCGGCCUUAGUGAUCCGACGGUUCCGUGUGGAAGGGCCGUCGCUCAACGGAUAAAAGUUACUCUAGGGAUAACAGGCUGA
rnacentral:rRNA from 1 species